CAUCUGUUUUGUCUUGCACUUGCCAAGUUGGUCUUCAUAAUGAAAGGGAACAGACAAAACAUGUUAAAACAGCCAGCCAAUAUGCCAGACAGUACACGCUCUAACUAUGAAAUCACAAUGCAGAAGAGCUAUUUCAUCCUCAAUGAACAUAAAAAUGUUGUAAAAUUACAAAGAGAUGAUUUGGCAGCGUCCCCCGCAGCAAAGACGGAUUAUUUCAGCAAUGCUGGCAAUUAUGAUUUAGCCAGCCGUAGAUUCACGCUAGCAACUCGGCGUGUAGAGGAACACAGGGCCGCGGUGCUCUUCCUAGAAGACUGACGGCUUUCCUUUGCCAGAGGUGGUACUUCAUUGAAUGCAAAGAUCAGAUGAAGAAACUAAUAAAGAGGGAUAAUGUAUUCUGCAGUUGGACAACAUGUUCCAUUUGUGGAGAAUACUUAUGGGAGAAAAAGGCACAAACAUACAGUGACAGAAGAAAGUAAUAAUUAGACAGUAUUGUGGAAUCUGGGCAGAUUUUUCAUGUUAUGAAGACUACACAAUCCAAAAUUCAUCUUUCAAAUGAUAUCUGGAAAAGGCAAAGCUUGUUACAUGUUUAGCCUGCAGAAGACUGAGGCAGAUGGACACUGAGCCUUCAGGCAUGCUAUGGGAAGACAUACCAAAACGGUGGCUGUGAACAAGAUAAAUCCCAUCUGGCCUGCUGCAAGUGCCAGGAUAUGUCCUCCCCUGGAUUCGGCUCCCUCCAUGGAGAAUACACAACUGCUCUAGCGCUGAUCCUGGUUUCUGGUUGGCACUGAAGGCAAGGUGAGGAUUGAGCUCCAAUUUAACUACUCCAGUCCAGGUCUCAGGGCAAUGUCCUUGGUUGUCCCUGCUGUCCCCCAGCAGCACACACUCGCUGUAACUCCUGGUACAUCACUACAGUCACUUGGGAGUGCACUGACAACGAGAACAGCAUCCUCUGCAUGAGAUAGGAAGACAACAGCUUCUGCUAGAUGGAGGGUGAGUAAAGCCAUGACUCCAACUGAGGCUAUCUAACCAUAUGUUCCCAUUGGGUAUUUUUGCUCUGCUUUGCUUAAAAACUCUGUGUCUGGGCAUGGAGGCAUGAGAGCACCUGGAUUCUGGCUGACCUUAAUCAGAUAUUGGGCUGUGUAGUUACUCACUUGUUUUCCUCUCCUUCUAGUUUCUGUCCUCUUUCUUCUUUCCUUCAGCCUUUCUCUGCACCUUUGCUUCCUUAUCCUCUGUGAGGUGACCUUAGAUUCUGAGAUCUUGACUCAGGUACACAUGUCAAGGGUGGGAUUUUUUCCUCCCUCACUACAUCUUGAAUAUAAAGGGAGGAGGAAAUUCUUAUCAAUGGGUUUAAUGAAGAAUUCUCUUUUUGCACAGACUUGUUUGUUUUAGCAUGUAUUGGGGGCACUCUGAGCUCCUGUGAGAGCCAUAGGAACUCCCCAAAUGGUUACAGUGCUGUACAGUCACUUCACAAGCAUCUAAAAAUAGCUUUCCCUUUCCUCCCUCCUUUCUGACCCAGAACAGGAAUCUCAUUCCUUCCACUUGAUUCCUUCUAUUUUCAGGCCACAUUCAUCUUUCUCUAUGUAAAAUAUGGACACAUGGAGGUUAGUUUAGUGCUUAUCCUCCCUCACUUCACUUUAUUUUCAGGAAUUUUGAUCGCUCAUGAAACAAAUCUGUAGCUUGUUUCUAACAGUGCAGAGAGCACUGUCAUCAUUUAGAUGGAGUUACUUAAAUUCCUGUCUCAGCAAAAUGAAACAGGAGGAGCUGCUGUGGGAGAGACUUGGCCUACCAACUGUCCAGCAGGACAGAUGAGAAGAGUAAAACAGCAGCAAUGAGUGAGGAAAGGGAAGAAAGAUGACAUCUCACUUCUGUUCUGGCUUUCUUCAUCAAACAGCUCUCAAACCUGAGCACCUAGAAAUCCAUACCACAGAGACCCAGAGCCACUACUGCUGACUAUAUGGGAUCAGCUCUAUGUAUUUUAAAUUCACAGCUAAUUAAAGAUAAGCUCGUUAAGGA